UACGUAGGGAGCAAGCGUUGUCCGGAAUCAUUGGGCGUAAAGCGCGCGUAGGCGGCCCUGUAAGUCCGUUGUGAAAGUCCAGGGCUCAACCCUGGGAUGCCGGUGGAUACUGCAGGGCUAGAGUACGGAAGAGGCGAGUGGAAUUCCCGGUGUAGCGGUGAAAUGCGCAGAUAUCGGGAGGAACACCUAUUGCGAAGGCAGCUCGCUGGGACGUUACUGACGCUGAGACGCGAAAGCGUGGGGAGCAAACAGG
rnacentral:rRNA from 1 species